rnacentral:rRNA from 1 species
UACGGAGGGUGCAAACGUUGCUCGGAAUCAUUGGGCGUAAAGCGCACGUAGGCGGACCGCUAAGUCGGAUGUGAAAGCCCUCGGCUUAACCGAGGAAGUGCAUUCGAAACUGACAGUCUUGAGUAUGGAAGAGGGUCGCGGAAUUCCCGGUGUAGAGGUGAAAUUCGUAGAUAUCGGGAGGAACACCAGUGGCGAAGGCGACUUCCUGGCCUGUUCUUGACGCUGAGGCGCGAAAGCUAGGGUAGCAAACGGGG